rnacentral:rRNA from 1 species
UACGUAGGGGGCAAGCGUUGUCCGGAAUCAUUGGGCGUAAAGCGCGUGUAGGCGGCCCGAUAAGUCCGCUGUGAAAGUCCAGGGCUCAACCCUGGAAUGCCGGUGGAUACUGUCGGGCUCGAGUCCGGAAGAGGCGAGUGGAAUCCUGGUGGUAGCGGUGAAUGCGCAGAUAUCAGGAGGAACACCAAUGGGCGAAGGCAGCUCCGCUGGGACGGUACUGACGCUGAGACGCGAAAGCGUGGGAGCAAACAGG